UAGAUGUACAGGUAAGGGAUGCUUUCCAACCACCCUCACCUCCCCCUUUCAUUGUAGUGCUGCUGAGAGAAGGUUCCUGGAAAUUCCAGUGGUGGUGAUGAAGACUUACUUAUUUCUAGACAGACCAUCCAGUGGCUGCCCUGCAGAAAUCCUCGCUCAUCUGCAUGACUACCAUUGUACAUCACAGAGAGGCUAGCUGGUGGAACUUUAUUCCUUCAGUAGAGUCCAAUCUACACCAGGAAGCACGGUAGUGGUGUUGGACCAAAGUUUGUGUUUGAAGGUCCAUGUCCAUUGCAGCUGGAUGUCAAAGAGCAAGUGGCGUGGGUUGCUUGGAAUCAUUGUUCUGCCUUACAUUCCAAAACCUAGAGUGUGUUGUCUGUUUGUU